GGACCGAUGGUGUAGUGGUUAGCAUGCCAGCCUUCCAAGCUUGCGUCCCGGGUUCGAAUCCCGGUCGGUUCA